rnacentral:rRNA from 1 species
GACAGAGGGUGCAAACGUUGCUCGGAAUUACUGGGCGUAAAGCGCGUGUAGGUGGAUUGGUGUGUCAGAUGUGAAAGCCCUGGGCUCAACCCAGGAACUGCACCUGAAACUACCAGUCUUGAGUGGUGGAGAGGGAAGUGGAAUUCCUGGUGUAGAGGUGAAAUUCGUAGAUAUCAGGAGGAACACCAGUGGCGAAGGCAGCUCGCUGGGACGGUACUGACGCUGAGACGCGAAAGCGUGGGGAGCAAACAGG